AAGCACAGGCGCGCUUGGCGACGAGCCUAGCGAUAACGACCAGACCUGCUUCGUUUGAAGAAUUCUCUAGAGCAGGAUCACGUUUCGCUAAACGUUUGAAGACUUAACUGUGGAAUUUGAGUUUGAAACCAGGGCCUUUUGUGUUUCUUGCGGUCAGCCUUGCCACUUCCCAGAGUACACUUGGUGACCAAAGAGAGAAGUAGUGAAGAGCUUAAUUGGUUCUGGCACUCUGCCAAGGAUUCAGGGGAGGGUGGAUGUCCAGCUUGGUUCAGAUGAACUUGAGUCUUCAAGGAUUGAGAGAGUCUUGGGGGAGUGUCCAUGACCCAUCCGAAGAGGUGUUUCACAGAUGAAGUUCAUUUUGAGAAAGCCUGGGAUAACCCCAUAUGAAACAAUGUCCCUGUCCUGGGAGCACUCACUUCCUCUGAAUGAGUUCAGCUCUGUCUGUGUGACCCUCCUGAGACUGAGAAGAAUUUACCAACAGGUGAGUGUCAGUUCUGGCCCCUGGAGGCUCCAGUCUGUCUCCCAGUCCUGGUGUCUUAGAUUUCUGCCCUUUUGGAAA